AAUAACAACAACUGAAGGCGGCAAAAUGGCAACGGUGAUCUACUGUCUGAUUCAGCGAAAAGUAGGCUUUGGAUGCAUAAAUGUGGAUGUUUUCGAGAAACCUCAUAAUUUUGGGACAAUAACUCAAUUAUGAUUUGUGGCAACGUAAAGUGUGUGGAAGAAGUAUCGCUGAAGUAUCCGGUAUGUUAAAGUAAUUGAAACAUUCUUAAACAUUGACAUUUUGAGGAGAGAUUCAGGCAACCUGUUCACAGUAAAUGAAAUAAAAGCAGAAUUUAUGUGGAUAAAGACUGUGCCACUUCUGUCACCGUUCAUAGCAGCUGGACAGAUGCAAGUGCGAAGACAUACACAUCAAACGAGACUAUGUCAUAAAGAGUCUGUGUGUGUAUCUCAAUGGGGACAUUACAACACUUGUCAAAGAAUUCUAGGACUGCAAUCCUGAAGGAGAUGAGGGAGGAAUUUCUGAGACCACUCUGGGCCUUUUUGUGACCCUUAAAGUGCUGAGUACUAGCCAGACGAUGUUGGAGUAGCAACAGAGGGUGUAAAACUGCUACAACACUUAAGAGUUUUUCCUUUGGAUUAAUAAUGCUGUUCAGAUUGAUCUACUCACUCAAGUUACGCUCAGAGUCUCAAAUUCACAUUUGAAUUCUUCCAGAAGGUAAUGAUGAAUUUGGACUUUAGGACAUCACACAGAUGUUUCCAUCCCCUGGAAGGACAUUGAAAACUUUUAAACUUGUUCUGUAAUUCUCAAAUCAAGAGACUGCACCUAAUGCACCUUCUGGCUUCCUCUCUGAUACAUUUAAACACAUUACAUUUUUUGUUCACCAAAACAUGAACAUUCUGUCAUUUAUUACUCACCCUCAUGUCGUUCCACACCCGUAAGACCUUCGUUCAUCUUCAGAACACAAAUUAGGAUAUUUUUGAUGAAAUCCAUGAGCUAUCUGGCCUCCGAUAGACUUCAACACAACUAUCACUUUCAAGGUCCAGAAAGGUAGUAAAGACAUCAUUAAAAUAGUCAACAUGACUGCAAUGGUUCAACCUUAAUAGUAUGAAGCGACGAGAAUACUUUUUGUGCGCAAAACAAAAACAAAAAAAAAUGACUUUAUUCAAAAAUGUCUUCCCUUUUAUGUCAGUCUCCUACGCAGUUGAUGUUGUACACACAAAAUAUCUUAAUUUGUGUUUUGAAGAUGAACGAAGGUCUUAGGGGUUUGGAGCAACAUGAGGGUGAGUAAUUAAUGACAGAAAUGUCAUUUUUGGGCGAAUAAACCCAAAGAUGUUAGCCCUUGUGCUAUUCCUUGUCCAGGAAGUUAACUUGUGAGUAGCACACUUGGGCUACUGAAUGCCUAAAUGCUGAAAUUUGACAGACAACAGAAAACCUGUUAUAUGUAAAGUAAAUUAUAAUCCUUCAGAUUGCUUUUCUUUUUUUCCCCCAAGUGUCCUGAUUGUUUAUUUGUUGGAACAAAUGUUUACAAGGAAUGUAACCAUUUACAGAUCUGUAUCAAGUUUUAGAUAAGUGAAAGCACAAACUGAUGACAAUACUAUGCAGUGAGAUCCCAAUAUUACCUUGAAAUUGUGAAAAUAAUGUUUGAUGUUGAAAUUUGGUUCCAUGUUGAUCUAUGAACUUGUUGGCACACAGCCAUAACCAUUGUGUUAGUUUGGGAGAAGGCACAAAACUGCAGUAAACAGUUGCCUUAAUUUGUGAAAUACUGCAUUAUGUUCUAUUUUUUUUGUCAGAUUGGAUGUUUCUUAUUAUUCCUGGAGCAAUUGUGACAAUAAAUGUUUAUAAAUGUAA